UACGUGGGGGGCAAGCGUUGUUCGGAAUUACUGGGCGUAAAGGGCGCGUAGGCGGCACAGCAAGUCGGGAGUGAAAGCCCGGGGCUCAACCCCGGUAUGGCUUUCGAAACUGCUGAGCUAGAGUACAGAAGGGGCAACCGGAAUUCCCAGUGUAGCGGUGAAAUGCGUAGAUAUUGGGAAGAACACCUGAGGCGAAGGCGGGUUGCUGGGCUGAUACUGACGCUGAGGCGCGAAAGCGUGGGUAGCAAACAGG
rnacentral:rRNA from 1 species